rnacentral:rRNA from 1 species
GAUGAACGCUGGCGGCGUGCCUAAUACAUGCAAGUCGAGCGAACGGACGAGAAGCUUGCUUCUCUGAUGUUAGCGGCGGACGGGUGAGUAACACGUGGAUAACCUACCUAUAAGACUGGGAUAACUUCGGGAAACCGGAGCUAAUACCGGAUAAUAUUUUGAACCGCAUGGUUCAAAAGUGAAAGACGGUCUUGCUGUCACUUAUAGAUGGAUCCGCGCUGCAUUAGCUAGUUGGUAAGGUAACGGCUUACCACGGCAACGAUGCAUAGCCGACCUGAGAGGGUGGUCGGCCACACUGGAACUGAGACACGGUCCAGACUCCUACGGGAGGCAGCAGUAGGGAAUCUUCCGCAAUGGGCGAAAGCCUGACGGAGCAACGCCGCGUGAGUGAUGAAGGUCUUCGGAUCGUAAAACUCCGUUAUUAGGGAAGAACAUAUGUGUAAGUAACUGUGCACAUCUUGACGGUACCUAAUCAGAAAGCCACGGCUAACUACGUG